AAGCGUCUGCAGGUGUCCUGUUAUGUCUGGCGUUAAAUUUCGGGGCUCAACCCCGAAUCUGUGCCGGAAACUGGCGGGAUCGAGUUACUCAGAGGCAUCUGGAAUGUCGUGUGUAGGGGUAAAAUCCGUAGAUACACGAUGGAACGCCAAAAGCGAAGGCAGGAUGCUAGGAGUCUACUGACACUCAGAGACGAAAGCGUGGGGAGCAAAGGGGAUUAGAUACCCCCGUAGUCCACGCCCUAAACGAUGCGGGCUCGGUGUGGGAGUUUUCAAUCGACUCCCGUGCCCUAAGCUUACGCGGUAAGCCCGCCGCCUGGGAAGUACGGCCGCAAGGCUAAAACUCAAAGGAAUAGACGGGGACCCACACAAGCGGUGGAGCAUGGGGUUUAAUUCGAUGACAAGCGAAGCACCUCACCCAGACUUGACAUGGUAGGAAUCCGGCCGAAAGGUUGGAGUGCCGCAAGGAACCUACACACAGGCGGUGCACGGUCGUCGUCAGCUCGUGCCUUGAGGUGUACUGUUCAGUCAGCCAACGAGCGCAACCCUCAUCCUAUGUUGUUUUUUCAUAGGAGACUGCCGCCUCCAAGGCGGAGGAAGGUGAGGAUGACGUCAGAUCAGCGUGCCCUUUAUGUCUGGGGCAACACCCGUGCUACAAUGGUCGGUACAAACGGAAGCGAAGCCGCGAGGCCAAGCAAUCCGAAAAAACCGAUCUCAGUUCGGAUUGAAGUCUGCAACUCGACUUCAUGAAGUUGGAAUCGCUAGUAACCGUGAAUCAGCUACGUCACGGUGAAUAUGUUCCUGGGUCUUGUACUCACCGCCCGUCAACUCAUGGGAGGUAGGAGCACCCGAAGCACCUUUACCCGCAAGGGGAGGUACCACGGUGAUACUACUGACUGGGAGUAAGUCGUAACAAGGUAA
rnacentral:rRNA from 1 species